AGACCCCUUUAAAGCGAGGGAGUCCGCCACCAUCCUGGGCCUUUGGCGGAGGCUCGAAGGCGGGCACGGAAAGCUUUUCAGCGACAAGCAGGAGAGGCCUCGGGUGCGCCUUGGAUGCACUUUGGCGAGUGUGGAAGUUGGAGACGGGCUAACUAAGCGGGUCAUCCUGUCUGGGAUGGCUUAGGGAGUAUAUUUGGCUUUCUCCGGUUGGCCCGAAGUGGGCCAGGGACAAAAAAAUAGGUAAGCUGACAGUUAGUGACCAAGUCCUGAAUGUGGGGGCCUGUAGCCGGAGAGGUUGUGGGUCUGUUCUGUUAGGUGUGGUCUGCCCGUCGUUGUGUUUGCAGCCUCACUGCGUCGUGGGGCGCAGUGUGAGACCUUCCACCUGCUGACCUGCCACAGGAACCUUCCCAGGCCGGCCUGCUGGCGGGAGCCACUCUGGCUCUGCCUGAACGUCGUAAGCUCCUGAUUGUUCCCUCGUGUCUGGGGUGCUCUUGUGACCAGCCUUCCUCGCUUGGACUCUUCUGGGCCUGACCUCGUUGGUUGCUUUACCCAACAACAAUCAGCUUCUUAACUUGCGUAUUUCAUACUUGUUAACAUGACCCUGCAAUUUGUAGAUUCUUCCAGGAAGUCUGGAAUCUGACUUCCAAAGGGAGAGUCUUGAUGGAGUGGGCUCGUGCCUCUUGCUGUGUCACUGAAUUAGACAAAAGCCCUUUGGCCGAGGAGAAACGACAGGUCUGCUGGGGGCUUCUGGGGAAGUUCCCCCCUCAGUAAUUGACAUAGACCAUAGGGUGUCUCCUUUUAUUGUCUUUGAACAGCAUUGUCUGCACAUAAUGUGUAGAACCGUACUGCCGUGCCAGCAUCUUGAAGAGGCCAGCCCAAGGGGCAAAGUCGCCAUGCUGAGAAUGGCAGAGCAGAAAGAUGGAAAGAACCAGAGUCACCGAAUCAACUAAUACUGCCUGUGGCCAUCUUGGGACUUUUCCUUAUGAUACCAUAAACGACCUUGUUUAUUUUUAUUAUGGAAAACUUCAAACAUACAAGAGUAAGCCAGAGCAAGAGAACGUGUAUACAUGCCAGAGAGGGACAGAGAGAGAGAGGGAGAGAGAAUCCCAAGCAGGAGCCGCACUACCAGCACAGAGCCCAACUCGGGGCUUGAACCCAUGAACCGCGAGAUCAGGACCUGAGCCGAGGUCGAGAGUUGGACCCUCAACUGACUGCGCCACUGAGGCACCCUGUAUCACUUUAUGUGGCACUUUAUUUACUUCCAGUUAUUCUUUAACAUUUUGGUUUAGAGCAUCUCAAAUUAGAAAGGAUUAUGCUGAGAAGGCCAUGUCUCUUCAACCGGCUCAGCUUGAGGGCUAUGAGGUACCGUCACGAGACCUGGGGAGACUACGGAAAGAAGUGAAGUAGCAAAGAGAGGAACACCGAGCUUGGCAGUCAGGGAUGGGGCAAGAACAGGGAGCACUCUCCCAGCUCUCUGACUCCUCAUAUGCCUUCAAGGUGGGCGGUGAUGAUAAAACGAUGUGAUCGGCCAUUAAAUUAUGAAGAGUGUUGGUCCUGAUCGGUCGGCCUUGCCUCUCAUUGCAAUGAACUUUGUUGUGACUGUCACUGGUGUCCAUAGCAUUCAGUUUCAGGAGUCGUGUGGAUGCAACAUUUGGUGCAUUGGCCGGGAAAGUUAAAGGUCUGAAACAGGGCCCAUUCCCCGGAUUGCUCUGCCGACCCCUGGGAGGAAGCUCGGGAUUGGGAGAGGUAAGGAAUUCUUGGGGCGCGCCAUUUGAAUGACUCAGGAGGGUCUGCCUGACGCAGCUAUAGAACCAGAGUCAGGGAUCCUACCAGGACGCCGGUGGACCCCAUUAGGUUUGGUGUUUGUCAAGAAGGAUCCUAUUUUCAGGUGGCUGCGAUGGCCUACUGGCCUUGAGAUCUCGAACUUGUGUUUUCUUCGUGUCUUAAUUGUCUUCUUCCUGUUGACUGGCUGUGCGUCCUUGUCAGUUUUGCCUAUCUUUGUCAUCGUCCUUGUCAGUUUUGCCUAUCUUUGUCAUCGGUCAGAAUCAGACUACCCCCACCCCGCUGAGUCUCAUACUAACCCAUUUCCAGGAGUAUAGGAGAGCUGCCUCAGUUUUCGGCCUCCACGUUAAGAAGCCAGUCCUUCGAACUCUCUGCGAGGUGGAAUGUAACAGCUUUCAGGUCGAAUGGCCUCCACAGGGGACCUUUAACCUUACUUUGGUAUAUAAAGUUCGUGAUAUUGUCUUUUCUAGGCACGAAGACCAAAUCCCAUACACUGGGGCAUGGAGAACCCUCAUCGAAAACCCUCCAGAUAGGUUAAAACUUCUUCCCCUUCCCCCUCGCCUCCCUAAAGUACAGGCUUUGCCACUCAAAGGUCGCCCAUCUGGAGCUCAGAAUAAGAAUCUUGAUGAGACUAAGCGGCCGCCCCCUCUAUCACCUGCACAGGAGGGGGGUAAAAAAAAAGGAACUUACCACCCACCGCCCUAUAGUUCUCGCCCAAAGAAUACAGGUCAAGAUGCUUCAGAUCUGGAGACGAGCCCGAGUCGGGACACUCCCCUGAGCCCGUCUCACACCCGGUCAGGGACUCCCUUCCAUCCGCCUCCCGCUGCCCUAUCCCUUCUUCCAGGGCCACCCCUGCACCCCUGCAGGGUGAUGUCCGACCCUUUAUGACUUAUGUACCCUUCUCCACUAGCGACCUUUAUAACGGGAAGCUUCAAAACCCCUCGUUCUCAGAGAAACCCCAAGCAUUAAUUUCUCUUCUUGAAACUCUAUUUGUGACCCAACAGCCAACCUGGGAUGACUGCCAGCAGCUCUUGCAGGUUCUCUUCACCACUGAGGAGCGGGAUAAGAUCCGUCGCGAGGCCCGGAAAUUAGUGAUGGGGCCAAACGGGCAACCCACCAAGGAUCCCGCUGGAUUCAAGGAAGUUUUUCCUUCCUCGCAUCCUGAAAAUUGGGACCCAAACACUCCUCACGGUAGGCGAUCAUUGACCCUAUUUCACCAGACUCUACUGGGAGGUCUCUGAGCGGCCACCCGCCGGCCCACAAACAUGUCUAAGGUAACAGAAGUAAUUCAGGGGACCGAGGAAAGCCCCUCAGCCUUCUUAGAAAGGCUCACGUAGGUGUACCGCACCUUUACCCCUGUAGACCCUGAGGCACCUAAAAAUAGAAGAGCAUUAAAUUUGGCCUUUGUCUUACAGGCAGCCCCAGACUUGUAAAUGGACAUUCAUCCCACUGUACCCAACCCUUAUACUCUCCUUAGUUUGCUUCCCCCUUCUCAGGUGUAUUAUACAGUUCUGGACUUAAAAGAUGCCUUCUUUGCCAUCCCGCUGGCCCCACAAAGCCAGCCACUAUUUGUAUUUGAAUGGACUGAUCCUGAAAAGGGACAGCUCACCUGGACGCAACUCCCCCAAAGAUUUAAAAAUUCUCCUCUUUUUAAUGACGCCCUGCACCAGGAUUUAGAGCCAUUUCGAAUCUCCAACCCGCAGGUAGCCCUAUUGCAAUAUGUUGAGGAUAUCUUGUUGGCGGCCCCCUCUCAUUUAGAAUGCCUGAGUGCCACCAGAGAACCCUUGAGUCUUUUGCAAAAACUGGGGUACCGAGUGUCAGCCAGAAAAGCGCAGAUCUGUCGUACUGCGGUGACCUAUUUAAGUUACAACCUUAAAAAGGUAAGUGCUAUCUCGGUGAACAAAGAAUUCGGGCUAUACUCGAUAUUCCUCAGCCUAAAACUCGCAAACAAGUUCGCGAGUUCUGGGGGCAGCAGGCUACUGCAGAGUAUGGAUACCUGUCUUUGCUGAACUGGCAGCCCCUUUGUACGCCACUCUCAAGGGGUCUCCAGAGUCCUUCACGUGGGGGGAGACUCAAACUAAAGCCUUCCAAGCCUUACGAGAGGCUCUCGUGACCCCACCGGCCUCGGCCCUGCCAGAUCCCACCAAGCCAUUCCGUUUGUUUGUAGCCGAAAAGGGGGGGGGGGGGUAGCCGAGGGAGUUCUGACUCGGAGCCUGGGACCUUGGCGCCGACCGGUGGCCUAUUUAUCCAAACGGCUGGACCCAGUUGCUUCCGGGUGGCCCCCACGCGUUCGACAAAUUGCCGCCACCGCGCUCUUAGUUGAAGACGCAGACAAACUAACUUUGAGGCAGGCACUGUCUGUCACCGGGCCCCACGAAGUGGAGGCUUUACUGCGGGCUCCCCCAGAGCGACGGCUGUCAAAUGCUCGGAUUACCCAAUAUCAAGCGUUGCUACUCGACCAGACCUGAAUACGUUUUUGUGCCCCCACAGCCUUAAACCCAGCCACUCUGCUGCCCGAAGGACAAGGUCCCCCUCUGCACUCCUGCCCAGAAACCUUGGCGACGAUCUCGUCCCUCCGCUCCGAUCUUAUGGACGUUCCUUUACAGGACCCUGAUAUCAGCAUGUUUUCAGGCGGCAGUAGUUUUGUGUUUCAAGGGCCAAGGCACGCCGGGCGCUGCAGUGACGACAGACCGCGAGGUUUUAUGGCAACAGACCCUUCCCCCGGGAACUUCAGCCCAGCACGCAGAGCUCAUCACGCUAACAAAAGUCCUCAAACUCGGAAGAAACAAGCCAGUUCAUAUUUAUACGGACAGCCGCUAUGCUUUUUGCAACCGCGCAUGUACACGGAUCCAUUUACCAAGAGUGCGGUCUCCUCACGGCGGAAGGCAAGGCCAUCAAAACUGAAGCUGAAAUUUUAGAUCUUCUAGCAGCCAUCUGGGAACCUGCGAGGCUGGCAAUCAUUCACUGCCCGGGACGUCAGAAAGGCGACUCCCUAGAAGCAGUCGGAAACCGCCUGGCUGAUGCAGCAGCCCGAGAAGCUGCCCCAACUAAAAGUAAAAGUGCCUUGGAGCUACCGAUCUUGACCGAGGGAGCCCAGUUACACUCCUAAAGAUUUGGAGUGGGUUUCAAGAAAAGGGGGAAGUGUGACGCCGGGACAAAAGUGGUCUCAGGAUCCUGAAGACCUCCACCUAUCCUGCUGAGGCUAGGAGGCGACGUAAUGGAACAGUUGGAACAGGACCGCUUGCUGGUUUCACUCGUGGCCCUGCAACAUGUACGAAAGGAAAUAACCAGGGCCUUAAAAGAAGCCUUCGCUCAUCCUCCUGUUCUUCCCCACCCCUUUCAACCAGGAGAUUUAGUCUGGGUCAAGAGGCACGAGCUUAAAACCCUGGAGCCGCUCUGGAAAGGACCACACGCCGUGAUCCUGACUACGCCCACGGCCGUGAAGGUAGAUGGUGUCCGAACCUGGAUUCAUCACUCUCAGGUUAAAAAAAAAACAACCUGUGUGAAGGCAGGAACACCCGAGACUGAUACAGAACCAGAUAAUGAACAGCAAUGGAAGGUCCGAAGGCACUCAGAGGAUCCUUUAAAGAUAUCCAGGUUACAUCCUCCACCAGGGCCACUGCCUCCUGACAGUCCUCUGGGUGCUGUGACUGCACCCACCUCUGGAGCUUCCUGGGCAGCGCACCCAGGAACUGUUCCAGCACCAGCAGCUCCAGCAUCUGCUCCUUGGAGUGCGCCUCGGGCUGCAGCCACUGGCGGCACAGCUCACGCAACCGGGCCAGGGCCUCUCGGGGCCCCGCCACCUCCUCGAAGCAGAACCCCCGGAACCUCUGGCGUGCAGCCUCAGGGUCAGCUGGAUGCUUGCCUAGCUGUUGAGUGGGCUCCCCAAGUACUUCUGGGCUUAGGCCCUCGUCUUCAGCAUAGAGGGCCCGAAUCUGGGCAUUUCGGGGACGAGCUACCUCUUGGUUCAGUGUGAGGACUUCAACGACUUCGAUCUUCAUCAGGGGAUUCCCAGCAGGAAGAGGAUCCACUUGAGGGUCCAACUGAGCCGCAGGACACUCUGUAAGUCAAAAGCACAGCCAGAGAGAUGGCCAACAAGCACAUGAAAAGAUAGUCAACAUUAUUUGCCACCAAGGAAAUGUAAAUCAAAACCACUGUGAGGGGCACCUGGCUGACUCAGUCAGAAGAGCGUGUGACUCUUGAUCUUGGGGUCAUGAGUUUGAGCCCCUUGUUGGGUGUAGAGAUCACCUAAAUAAACAAAAACUUAAAAAAAUAAAUCGUGAGAUACUACUUCAUACUUACUAGGAUAGCUAUUAUCAAAGAUGGGUGGUAACAACUAUUGGCGAGGAUGUGGAAAAACUGCUGUUGGUGGGAACACAGAACGCUGCAUCAUUUUGCAAAACAGUCUGGCAGGUGCUCAAAAAGCCAAACACAGAAUUAUAACCCAGGAAUUCUCCUAGGUAUACAUCCAAGAGAAAUGAAAAUAUAUGUCAAUACAAAAACUUGUACAGGAACUUUCACAGCAGCAUUCUUAACAGCCAAAAAGAAAAACAAAUGUCAAUCAAAGGAAGAAUAAACAAAAUAUGGUCUAUCCACAAAUUGGAAUAUUAUUUGGCCAUAGAAAGGAAUGAAGUAGUGAUACGUGCUAAGCCUUGACAACAUUAUGCUGAAUGGAAGCAGCCAGACACCAAAGGCUAAUUUUAAGAUUCCAUUUAUACGAAAUGUCCAAAAUAGACGAAUAUACUGAGACAAAGUAGAUUCGUGGUUUCCAAGAGAUAAGGAAUUCAGGCAAUUAGGGGGUGUUGGCUAAUAAAAAUGAAGCUUUUUCAGGGAGAUGAUAAAGACUUUCUGAAAUUAGACUGUAGUGAUAGCUACACAACCUUGUGAAUUAUAGUAAAAACCACUGAACUGUACACUCUCAAAGGGUGAACUUUAAGGUAUGUAAAUUACACCUCAAUAUGGGAGGUGGGUGGGAAAGCAAGAGGCAAGGAGGCUUAAGAAGAAACCUGUGAUGCUCUAUAGGCCCACAGCUAUGUACAGGGAGUAGAACCUGAUCCUGCCUCCAUGGGAGCCAAGAAGACAGGAAAGUCUGAAGCCCUGUGUCUUGGCACAGAACUCACAAGAACACAACUCCAGCACGUCCCUGAAAUGCUAAGGAGGGCACACAAACCAAAGGAAAUAAGAAAGCACUGUACAACUCUAAGGAGAAAUGCUAACUCUAAAUGACUUGAAAGCUUUAAAACUGUCAAUAGAGAGGCACCAGGGUGGCUCAGCCGGUUAAACAUCUAACCGCCUCAGGUCACAGUCUCACAAUUCUGUGAGACGCAAUUCUGUGUCUGCCCCUCUCUCUGCCCCUCCCUGGCUUGUGCUCCUGCACUCCAUCUCUCUCUCAAAAGUAAAUUAAUAAACAUUUUUAAAAAAGUAAAUAGAAAAAAUGUAAAUCACGGAUUAUGGUUUACUUCCAAUUAGGCUUGUUUGUUUAUAAAAACAGAAAUGGUCCGGCUGAUGUCAAGAGCAAAUGUGCCCGCUCACACUUGCUGUUUUGAAUAUACCUGAUUAGCAUAACUCUACCUGCAAAGGAACUUCCAGCAUGAACUCAAAGCCUUAGCAACGAAUGCCAGGGCAAUCAAUGCUCGGGGACUUUGAGCUGGUUAAUCGUGUUCAGGGAACUAUCUGGACAGGAAGACCACUGUAGAGACACCAAGAGAAGAGUAUUUGGACACAAAGGCCAGACAGCAUACGACAAUAGAACCCUGACCCCGCAACCUCAGGACUUGUUUGACCUGUUUGACCGUCAGUUUUUUUCUUUCACCCCCAAGUCAAUAACCUCCAGUCAGAACCUUCCUUUUUUCUGCUAUAAAUUUUCCCACGCCUGCCUCCCUGCCAGUCUCAACUAAACAUUAGGUGUGGUGGCAGACGACCUGCUACAGUGGCCUGAGUAGAUGGCCUCCGCAUGUCCUCAUUUGGGUGGUCUUUUUCUCACAACACACGUUUCCUGAGCAGGGGUGUAGGACGGAGCAAAACUGGAAAACACAGGUAGUGCUAAAGCACCGCUCAAGAAAACUGAAAGAUUCCCAGGUAAGCAUUAAAAAUUACGCUGGUUUUAGUGUGAUCAUUACAACGGAGGAAAGCUCCCGUCACGUGAAGUAAAAGAGCGCAGCAGGAAGUGUGAAGUGACAGCACCCGUGUUGUUUAAACACACAAACUCGGAAAGACCGGAAGAGCAGCGGCUCCCUGCGCGCCACCCGCACUGUUAAGCAGCGGCCCGGCCGGCCUUCCAGCACCGCGGCGUCCGGGAGGGUGGCGCUGGCGGAGGCCGCAGCCACAGGUACACUGCGGCCCUCGUUCGGGAAGCUGAAGCCUCAGUCCCCCUCCCACCGGGUAAACGGGACGACACCGCCCACGUCCCCAUAGCCACGCCCCGAUCCCCCGGUCCGGACGUGCAUCACGAGCCUGGUGCCGGGCCACUACAACUCCCAGGGCCCUUCGCGGUGCACACUUCCGGAGCGGCCAUGUUGAAGCUGUGGGUGCGACCCAGGCCCAGAUCGGACGGCCGCCCCUUGGCGAGUUGCUGGGCUCUCGGCCUCCUGCACUCUCGUUCCCUCCCCCGCCCCCCUUCGCGACGGCUGACGCACCCUGGGGCGGCGCCGGCGCAGCUGGAACUUCCAUAUACACCUUCCCGGUCUGCCAGUUUUCACCCUUCGGGCAGGCGCAGGGCGGAGGAUCGCGGUCGCUUCCCCCUAAGGGAGCGAGCGCCCGCAUUCCUUAUCCAUUUUCGGAUCCCCGAUUGUACAUUCCUCCCCGUUUGCGUAGGAUGCUUUUUUUUUUUUCCUCCCCCUCCACAUUUCCGGAUUACAGACCUUGGCUCGUCUAUGGUUUCCUCGGUUUACUGGUUUCACAGAUCUAACCGGUGUUGGAAAUUGCUGGCACGCUCUUCGAGAAGUGAGUCAGCUCGAGGUCAGGAGUCACCAGCGAUGGGUGGGGCCGGGCCCGCUGCCCCGAACUGGCCUUGGGCGCUUGGGGUUGCAAAACACGUCCUGGGCCGCGCUUUUAAUCUCGGCCAUCGCCAGUCACUCCUUUCCUAGGGUUUUUUUUGUUUUGUUUUUUUAGCAUAUUUUUAUUAAAAGACUUUUUAAGUAAUCCCCACCCAAUGUGGGGCUCGAAUUCACCACAAGAUCAAGAGUCCUAGAAUCAAAAUCCUAGUCCAAGGGAUUUUUUUUCCUUGAUAAAAAUAACUACGUUGAUCUCCUAUUUCUGACCUCCUCCCCUAAACAAACUUUUCUAUUAAUUUUAUUUGGGGGCUUGCCUUUCCCAACUCAUUUAUAUUUAUCCUUGUCUUCAGGAUUUAAUUACCUUCCUGUUCCCUAGGAUUUCUGGGGGUUCAUUUUCCCCUCCAGAUUGUUGAUUUAAAAGCAAAAUUCAUUUCCCCACUUCCAGUUAGCGUUCUCAGAGCUUCAAAUUGCCCUGAGAAUAACUCAGGAAGCCAAGGAUGACAAUUUCCCGGAUCCCCAGCAGGGCUGGGCUUGAAAAGUGCCCCAGUUAAGGGAUAUUAGGAAGCAGCGGGGGCGGGUAGCGCUCCCUGGCCGCUCCUUGCUGGGCCACAGGCACCAUUUUGAGUAAUAAUCAUGCAUGACACUUGAAAUCUUCAUUCUCCACAAUGCUUCACAACUUUCUAAUUUCUAAAACUUUCGUUUUUUACUCCUUGGUUAAUCACGCGGAUUAUUUAGUACUUUAUCCCUCAAGAAAAUUAACUGUAGGUUCUUUUCAUUCUACUCCCAUCCACUCUCCAUUUCUAAUUUUAUUUCUCCUUUAGUCUUGAAUCAUGUGUUUUGUUCCUCCUAUCUCUGGGGGACACUAGGGCAAUUUCUCAAAAUCUUGAAUUGAAUGCUCAUUAAAAUGUUAACUCUUAACCAUUUUAAGUUUCAGAGCCUGUCUAGGUGUGGAUAUGGAGAACUCUGCCCAUCCUUGUGGUGCUGGGAUCUCAGUGGAUCUGCAGCCUGGCUCUCCCUGCAGUAGCAGCCAUUCAGGACAACAUAUAUUCCGCAGGGUUAUUGUAAAGCUCCUCCUGGGUGCUAUGUGGUCAAUGAGAUGGGCCACAACCUGCAAGCUGGUGGUUAAGUGUCAUUCUAGUCACUGCAGUCCUCUGGACCAUCCCCCAAGGCCGCUAAGGUAACCCUUCCUGUGCUCUCUGUCAGGAAAGUAUUCACCUCACUUCAGAGAGAAAAUGUACUCUGUGAAGUGAAAAUGUACACAGAGAAAAGUUUACAGCUGGCAGAGUUGAAACUGGAUCUUCAACUCACUGGCACAUAGUUCGGGCUGACUGACCCACUCAUCUGUGUGGGGCUGCACAAAAUAAUCUCUAUCAACUGCAGCUCCAAGUACUGGCUUUCUUUUCUUUUUUAAAAUAUUUAUUUAUUUUGAGAGAGAAAGAGCGAGCUUGAGCAGGGAAGGGUAGAGAGAGGGAGACAAAGAAUCCCAGGCAAGCUCUGAUCCCCCAAUGCGGGGCUGGAACUCACAGAACAGUCAGAUCAUGACCCCAGCUGAAAUUAAGAGUGGGACUCUUAACCAACUGAACCACCCAGGCACUCACCAAGUACUGGUUUUCAAUCCACCACCUGAAUGACCGGUGGUGUGUGUAUGUGUAGAAUUUUAGCAAUUUAGUCCCCUCACUUGCAACUAUCUAUUUAGUGGGUUGUUAUACAAACUCACCCAGCCUCUGGGAAAGGGGCUUAAUCCUUCUGGGCCUUAGUUUCCUCUUUCUAAGUGAUUAGGUUACAUAAAGCCAGGAAUAGCAUGUAGGAAAGGAUGAUGGAGGAUGUUUUUCUUCCUCCUCUUACAGUUCACUUCCCUUUCUGCUUCUUCCCUUCCAGGGUAAGCCAUCUCCCUCAGUGCUUAGAGUUCCACAGUGAACGCUGACUAACCAGCUCUGUUGGGCCCUCCAUGGAGUUGCCUUUGAAGUUUGUUUACCCCCAUGGACUGCUGAGGAUGUCAGCUGGUUCUUGUGCAUCAGAAACCCUAAAGCCAGGCCCAGCGGAAGAUCUCCCAAAGGUGCUGAUGGUCAUCGUAACAUCAAAGUCUUCGAAUAGCAGUGGUUAGUUACAUGAAGACCCCUCAAGACCUGGGCUUUACACACCAUAGUCCCAGUAAGCAAUAGCAUCUAUUCUUAUACUGGGAGAAUGGACUUAUAUGGAAGUCCAUACUGGGAGACUCUAAGAGCCCUGUCCAAAGCCACACUGGGGAACAUAGCAGCUGGGAUCCAAGCCCUGUUCUUUUAUGCCCUUUACACCAAAGGCUAUGCUUCCCAUAGCCACUAUCUUAAUUUUCCUCAUAUGUGCCAGAGUGUGCCAUACCCCUGCCUGUUAGUCUUUCCCAACAUCUUCACCUGAUACCCCUUCCUCAUCCAGCUCUUAGCUUCUGUGUCCUCUCCUCAGAACUGUCUUCCUGAGCAGUUCUCAACUAGUAUUGCCCACCCACGCCUCCUCCCGCUAGCAUAUUCCAUUGUUUCAUUUUUCUUCACAGCACUGACUGCUAUCUCAAAGUAUCUGUUUCGUUAAUUAUCACCUUUCUACCUUUUCUACAGCAGCACUGCCCAAUGGAGCUCUCUUUAAGGAAAUGUUGUAGAUCUACACUGUCCAACAUAGUAGCCAUUAGCUGCAGCUGACCAAUGACCAUCUGAAAGACGGCCGUGACUAAGGAACUAAACUGAAUCUGUCAACAUUCCAGCCUUGUCCUGUCAUUGAACUGCUCGUGUUCCAUCGAAAUGGCCUUUUAACAGGAAGUUGGAAGAUAUUCACUGCCCAGCAUGACAGGUUCAUCUGGACCAACUACGCAAGACUGCAGAGGAUUAACCUGAGCCGAUUAACAGCAACCACUACAGUGAAAGCCCAACAGCACUCAGAAGGCCUGACAUAGCACAGUGAAGCGAGAUCUCUCUUUGUACAUUUGCGCCAAAACUCGACUAGACCAAUUCUGCAUCAAGGAAUUCUAAAUGCAAUCAUCUAACAGGAUUUUCUUAAUGAACCCCUGACAAACUGAUGUCAAGCCCUCAUCUUGCAAACCAGGUGGGUGAGAAUAGUUCAUUGUUUGUUUUGUUUGUUUUUUUUUAGAAAUAAUGAGAGGAACUAUCAUUUAUCCAAGUUAUAAAACUACCAUAUGUACAGCAGUAUGUGUACUCAGACUAAGAUCAAUGAAGCAGAAGGGACCAAGACCGAAGCCUAUGCCCAAUAAGUACCAUGGAAAUUUAGUCUGUAAUAAGGACGGUGUUUCCAAUAAGCAGAAGAAUCUAAUCAAAAUUUGUUGAAAGAACAUAUGCUCCAUACCAUAUACACAAAGAAACUCCAGAUAAGUGCAACAAUCAGACAAAAACAAACAAACAAACAAAAAACCCUGAAAUACAAGAAAGUAUUUAUGAAAUCUGCCUAUCUAUGAAUGGGAUAGGAAUAAGAACAGAUCUGAAAGGAAAAAUACCUAAAUUAUAUAACUUCUUUAUGAAAACUAAAUUUAAAGGUAGAAGAUAAAUGGGGGCGCCUGGGUGGCUCAGUCGGUUAGGCAUCCGACUUCAGCUCAGGUCAUGAUCUCACAGUUCAUGAGUUCAAGCCCCACAUUGAUCUCCGUGCUGACAGCUCAGAGCCUGGAACCUGCUUUGGAUUCUGUGUCUGCCUCUCUCUCUGCCCCUCCUCCGCUUGUGCUCUGUCUCUCAAAAAUAAA